AGAGUCAGACUUUCUCUCACAGGUGUUUCUCCUUCGGGAUCGGUGAGGGUGCGAGUACGGCUCUCGUCACAGGAAUGGCCAGAGAAGGUUCUGGUCACGCUCAGUUCAUCACAGGGACUGACCGCAUGCAGCCCAAAGUGAUGCAGUCGCUCAGGUUUGCUCUCCAC